GGUCGUUUCACCGGUCAGAAGUCCUCGGUGACCCCGCACACCGCCGCUUUCACACGGUCAACGUAUCCAAUCAGAUUUCACUGCCACGGAGAAAGCUACUGGUUGCUGCUAGCUAGCCAAGUUAGCUCUGUGUGGCCGGGCUUCGGGAAAGUGGCAGGGGGACGGAGAGGACGGAGAGCUGUCAGGAUAUCAUAGCAGUGGAGUCACCGAGUCCCGACGAACAACCUAACGACACAUAAAGGUUAAAUCACAACGACAUAUAUCUGUAUUGUCGGCACAGCGAGCCUCUUGAGUUGCCAAAAAAAUACGGUCAGCUAGAUGGCCUAGCUGUUGGAUAUUUCGGAAUUCUGACAAGACGACGGCCACUUCUAUCGCGUUAUAAACCCGACGCUGACACGGCCCCGUUGCCACAGCAACAUACUCCGACGACGUCGUCUUCCGUAGUUUGUAUCCCGGUAGGCAAAAAAAAAAAAGAAAAAGAAAAAAGCUGUCAACACAGACCAGAGUCAGCCGAUCACUGUCAAGUUUUUUUUUUUUGUCGGGGUCCCGGUUGACAGAUCAACUGUGCGGGGGCUUCGGCGAGCCAGCUAAAUAUGGUGAAGUUGCCUUUCUGACACCGACAGGAAGAGGUGGGCUCUGUGUCAGCAGACGUCAGAAUUAUGUUACUCCGCCUUCACUCAAGAUGGUAGCGGGCGCGGAAGGCCACAAGACGAGCAUAGUAGGCUGGCGCAGGGAUGGAGACUGAGCGGGUGCAACGCACCUGUCCCUCAGGAACUCCAUCCCUGUAGAAGAUGAUCCUGGUGGGCUUGAAACGGGUCGAUUUGUAGAACUGAAUGAGCAGUUCACGCACCAUGUAAGACAGAUCUUCAAUGAUCUCCUGCCGGGGUCUCUGGACCCGCACUGUGGCACAGUAUCUGCUGGGAUGAGCGUCCAUACUGCCUACCACCUGGAAAAGAGCAGAGGAAGAGAGUGAGCGAGUCUGGAGGAUCUGAGACAGACCCGCUCUCCUCUCCCAUCCUCCCUGUGUGUGACUCAAGGGUUUGUCAUAAUCGCUAGGCAACAACACAGCCAACCACAAGCGAGCUGAGGUCAAGGGCGUACGAGGAGCUGACGUCAUUUCCUGUAUGAACUUCAGAAGUGAAGAAGCCUUUCGGAGGAGGAGAGGUGAAACGUCUUCAAGACCUUCAGCUAAGUCCAGUUGCCUUUUGGAUCAAGCUUCGAAUUGACCACGAGCUGGAUGACUGAGAACCUACACAGACAUCUUUUCUACGACAUCUGCAGGUCACAUUUGCAUUGUGUCCCUGCCAGCUCAGUAUCUGGACUGCCACCAGUGUUAUCACACCACACUGUGGACGGUUGCUAACUUCAUUUGGCGUGUAGUUUUUGCUUUACAUAAUAAAAAAAAAAGCCUCAUAAAUAGAUGACAAAAUAAAAGUUUGCAUGGCUUUGAACAGACUUGGAAAAAGAGGGCUGAUAGUUGGGAAGGCUGUGUUGGCAAACAUUCAGACUUCUAAAAGGCUACUAUUCCCCUGAUAAAGUUUUGAUCCACUUCUAGCCAUCUGUGUAUCCAUGCUGACAGAGCUGCAGUAUUUGGUGCUUUUUGAUGUCUAACACUGGCAGCUGGGGGGACGAAACCUACCUUACAGUCAAGAUAAUCAGCUCUGUGAGACGUAUGAAUAUUUAGGGCUACUUUUACAUAUGCACUAUUACAUUUUCAGAAAAUGUCAGGACAGCCUGCCCCUGACAUUUUCAAUGUCAAUGCUAUGAUGAGAUUUUUUUUCCCUUUAUAUCAAUGCAAGGUGUUAUUGAACGUAUUCACAGUAUCACUCAUAUUGGCUGUUGCUUUCAAGGCUGCAUGAAAAAACCUGAAAUGAUUGAAGCAAAGAACACUUUCAUCUUACACUUAGAUACCUCAAGAAAUUGUCUGAUUUUUCUUUCUACGUGUUUCUUGGUAGCAGACAGUUGUAAAGACAUACUAAAACUAAUAAAUGAAGAAAUUCUGUGCCAGACUGUUCAGCACAGGUCUACAUUUCUGUUUCACGCCCCUCUACAACAUCCCUGUUUUUACGACAGCCUUUAAUCUUUACAGACUAAAACAACAGUUUUAUUAUACUGCUGAAAUUGCCACUAUUUUUUUUAAGUUUAUUGCCCUGGACUU